UACAGAGGUCUCAAGCGUUGUUCGGAUUCAUUGGGCGUAAAGGGUGCGUAGGCGGCGCGGUAAGUCGGGUGUGAAAUCUCGGAGCUUAACUCCGAAACUGCAUUCGAUACUGCCGUGCUUGAGGACUGGAGAGGAGGCUGGAAUUUACGGUGUAGCGGUGAAAUGCGUAGAUAUCGUAAGGAAGACCAGUGGCGAAGGCGGGUCACUGGACCGGUUCUGACGCUGAUGCGCGAAAGCGUGGGGAGCAAACGGG
rnacentral:rRNA from 1 species